ensembl:rRNA 5S_rRNA 5S ribosomal RNA
AUGUACAGCCAUACCACCCCGAACACGCCAGUCUCACCUGAUCUCAGGUUAAACAGGGCAGGACCUGGUAGUACUUGGCUAGGAAAACACCUGGGGAUACCAGGUGCCGUAGACU